GUCCAGGUCAACGCGAUUCAUUUUCCGCAGAUCCAUCAUCGUCAGCAGACGUUCUGUCUGUCCGCAGUAGGAGGAUGUGUGAUAGGAUACGGAUAGGUGUACGUAACAGGAUAUUGAAGAAGCGAAACGAAAUGAGGAGGAAUAAUCCAAGGACUGUUGUUCGAGGAAUGUUUGAAGAGCUUAAAGUCUCCACAGAUGGAGUUUUUAGAGGCUUAAAGUUUCCAGAGCUGAAAGAAUCGCUCUUCUCCGACGGAAACGAAAAGUUAUAGUGUUUUAUUUUGUUUGGAAAGCAUCUACCGUUAAUAAAAAGAAGAUACUUUUUUCGCACAAUAGAGAAAGUGAGGAUUUAUGGAGAAUUAACAGUCCACCAGUAGAAAAUUACUCAAACUACGUAGUACUUUCGCUAGUGUUUCAAAGGGAUAUGCUAAAUUCGAUGUUUACCAAGGGCAAUAGAUGUAGAAAUGUGCUCCUAAAUGAUGGACUCUAAAGGAGAAUAUGGCCACCUUUUUAGGAUCUUUGUAUUUAUUUGGAACAACGAUCUUGGAUCGACCUUCAGCGGCUUGCGGCUUCAGGGGCUCUCUCUGGAUGUCAGACGUCGUUUUGAAUUUUCAGUUUUAAAAUCUCCAAGAUUGCAAAAAACAAAGAAUUUUAAAGGGUGCUUUCCGAAAUAUUUCGACUAUUGUGUGGAGCCCCAAAUAGUUUCGAAAUCAAAUACAACUUCGGACGUGUAUCGAACUGAAGUAUCACAUAAACAUGUACAUAUGUAUGUAUAACUUUCUCAUCUUAUUACUUUUUGUUCUUUUACUUGUACGGCCCUGCCGCUUAUGGAGAAAGGUCCCCGGAAGGUGCCGCCUGUCGAUCCCCUGCAAGCGCCUCAUGGUCCAGAAUGAGACUUUGGUAAGGGUGUUCAAAUGAAUGUACAUAGCUUGUAUAUCAUCGCCACCUUCUCCGCAAGGAUCAUCUACAAUCAUGGAGAUUUUCCCGAUCCCAAAAAUGCAAAUCAAACCCAGAUCGGCCCACAAAUCUUAGACAACAAAAUAAUAUGUUAAAAAAACUUAUUAAAAAUAAUGCAUUUUACUGCAUGGUAACUACACGGUAACUACACGUCAACUACAAAUUUCGCUACGUAUUGGAUGUAAUUUUAAACAGCGCCAUCUGAUGGGGAAAUGUGUACGUUUGGUGACAAGCUUGUCCGUUCUUUUUCAUAUAGGUCCUUUCUCCACUUUUUCGUAUGACUUUUGAGAUUUUGUAGCCAAUCGAUCGGAAAUUCAAAGCUGAUCAGUGAUCACGAUAGUGGUGAUAGGAGGGGGUGGGACACGCCCCAAAAUGGAUUUGUUAAAUAUGCACUGAGUGAAUGAAAAUCGAAGUACGUGAUUGGACGCGAUUAAAAAUUAUCGCCUGCGAUAGAGAUAGGAAAAGCCCCCGAUCAAACUUCAUUGAACUGCUGCACCCAGUCCCAGUCUCUUGCAAGGCAAUCGAUACAGAAAUGCCAUGGACUUAUAUUUUGGUAGAUCAUACAUGUAGGUGUCUGCGCGAGCUUAUGGCUGAGAAGGUGGCCAGCACGGAAAUAGGACAAAAUCCAUUUAUACAGAAAGAAAAAAGAGAAACAUCUAUUUUUGGAGUGUUGGAAUUCCCAGGGAAUUGUCAAUCCCAUAUUGUCUAGUGGUUAGGAUACCCGGCUCUCACCCGGGAGGCCCGGGUUCAAUUCCCGGUAUGGGAAACUGUUAAUGGUUUCUUUUUUUUCGCUGAGCAAGGACCUGGCAAAGAAAAGCUCCUUUUGAUGUGCGGAACGGAACCUGGUCAUAAUCUAUUUUUAGGGAUAGAAAAUAGAGAAAAAAAAUUUUUGUAAUGCUAGAAUCAAUCCCAUAUUGUUUAGUUCUAGUGGAGAAAACUAUAAACAAAUGUAUGACAAGAAUGAAAAUACAA